rnacentral:rRNA from 1 species
GANCGGUGCAAGCGUUACUCGGAAUUACUGGGCGUAAAGCGUGCGUAGGUGGUUUUUUAAGUCCGUUGUGAAAGCCCUGGGCUCAACCUGGGAAUGGCAGUGGAUACUGGAAAGCUAGAGUGCGGUAGAGGGUAGUGGAAUUCCCGGUGUAGCAGUGAAAUGCGUAGAGAUCGGGAGGAACACCAGUGGCGAAGGCGGCUACCUGGACCAGCACUGACACUGAGGCACGAAAGCGUGGGGAGCAAACAGGAUUAGAUACCCUGGUAGUCCACGCCCUAAACGAUGCGAACUGGACGUUGGGAGCAACUUGGCUCUCAGUGUCGAAGCUAACGCGUUAAGUUCGCCGCCUGGGGAGUACGGUCGCAAGACUG